rnacentral:rRNA from 1 species
GACGAAGGGGGCUAGCGUUGUUCGGAAUUACUGGGCGUAAAGCGCGUGUAGGCGGUUAUCCAAGUCGGGUGUGAAAGCCUUGAGCUCAACUCAAGAAAUGCACUCGGUACUGGGUGACUAGAGGACCGGAGAGGAUAGAGGAAUUCCCAGUGUAGUGGUGAAAUACGUAGAGAUUGGGAAGAACACCAGUGGCGAAGGCGGCUAUCUGGACGGUUUCUGACGCUAAGACGCGAAAGCGUGGGGAGCAAACAGG